rnacentral:rRNA from 1 species
UACGGAGGGAGCUAGCGUUGUUCGGAAUUACUGGGCGUAAAGCGCACGUAGGCGGCUUUGUAAGUUAGAGGUGAUAGCCUGGAGCUCAACUCCAGAAUUGCCUUUAAGACUGCAUCGCUUGAAUCCAGGAGAGGUGAGUGGAAUUCCGAGUGUAGAGGUGAAAUUCGUAGAUAUUCGGAAGAACACCAGUGGCGAAGGCGUCUCACUGGACUGGUAUUGACGCUGAGGUGCGAAAGCGUGGGGAGCAAACAGGAUUAGAUACCUGGUAGUCAAGGGCG